UUAGAACUGUCAACUUGGGUGAAUUUUUAGAGGGUCUUAACGACUUCAUUUGGGAAAACUUCCUUCAUGAGAGUUGUAGCCCUUUAAGUCUAGAAAAUUCUCCAAGUGGUUUCGAGUCAAUCCGAUAUCUGUAGCUUCAGAUAUCCCCGUUUUAGUGAGCAAAGGUCCAGCUGCCCAGACCUUACGAGCUCUAACUUAAAACUUUGGGCUUAAGCCUUGGUUAAUGCGUUAUUUGGGUCGGUUAGUGAACUUAUGAGGUCAUGAUCAGGAGAUUAAGAAGAGGCUAAGUGGGCCAAGUGACUUGGAUGAGAAGGAAGGAGCUAGGGUUAUGAAAAUCCUAGCCCAUUAGUGGUGAUGCCGCAGCCUUGCAAGGAGAAAAGGGAGGGAGAUUUUGAUUUUCUUCUGCAGUAAAGAGUGAUUAGUACCAAUUAAGCCCUGUCCCCUCUGACUUAAAACAGCAUUAAACCCAAAACCACAACCCUAGCCCACUAUUUUCCCCUUGACCGCCAGUUUUGUGAGUAAAAGGGAGAGAAAAACCAAAUUUUCUUUCUUUCUUUCACACUUCAGAAAAACAGAAGCUAAUCACGUAAACACACCCCCAUCUCCUUCAUCUUGCUCCAAGAACCACCACCAUCCAAGCCACCGCCGGCCACCAUCACCACCCAUAACACCUUGCGCGUGAAGGAGGAGCUGCGAGAGGAAAGGGAACCGCGAAGAGGGGGAGAAGAAGGACGUGGACAGCAAGCCUUUUGAUCUUGAAUCUUCAUCUUUUCUUUCUUUUCAGGCCAUUAACCCAAGAUGGUCGUGAAGAUAAUGGCGACGACUCAUUCUUGGGAGUUGAUGCUACGUGACGAGCCACUACAGAUGACGACUACACUUCUGAUGAAGAGGAAGAAGAUAAAGAGGAAGGGGCCAAGGAUAUGGUUGGGUUGUGAGACAUCCAUUUUUCUUUUGGGUUGAGAGUACCGAGUUUUGGAAGUAUUGAACCAUUACUUUAUUUUAGUUGAGAUAGUUUAACUUGAUGUAAUUUACUUUGAAGUUUUCUUCCGGAUAUUUAUUUCAUACUCUUUUCAAUGAUUAAUAAAGUUUGAGGUUUAGGUUGA